CCAAAUUCAUCUUUACUUAUUCUCUUCUUUUUCAGAUUUCGGUAACCUUUCUUGCCGUAAAUCAUGAUUAUCCAUGGGAAUCACAGUCUAGUCUAGUCGGAGGUUGGCUCUUUUUACGACUUCUCCUAACUAUAAAAGUUUCAUUAAAAAUAUUCUAGCUGUUGCCAUAUACCCUCAGCUUGUACUUCUACAACGAACGAAGAAUAUCGACAAUUUCAUCGGGUGCGUACGGAGCUUUGUACAUUGUCAACUGGAUCUACCGAUACUUUAUUGAGACUCAUUUUGUCCACUAGAUAACUUGGAUUUCAGGGCUCAUGCAGACGCUACUUUACGCAGAAUUUUUCUAUUAUUAUUUCCAGAGUGGGAAGAACAACCAGAAACUCCAGUUGCUAACCUAAGAUCUCGAAAGGAUAUAUAUAAAGGAGAAGUCACUUUCACUUAAAUGUGAGUUGUAUUUGCCUUUUAGUUCUCAGCUAUCACAAAAUCCUAAUCCUGAUCUUUCUCGAACCCCUCUGAACGCGUGUUCUUUGAUUGUUUAGACGGUUUUUGAGCAUGCCGGUCCUUUUCAUUGCUACCAAAUUCGUAGAGAAUACAUGCCUGUAAGUUUGUGCUGUAAA